AUUAUCGGCACGGUGAACCAUCCGCAAGUAUAAUAUAGGAACUAUACAAACACGCUGAGAUAAGGAACGCGAAUGGUUAACUAAUAAUACUUUGAUAAUUUCUUUUUGUUUUCGUCUUUAGCGUAAUAAUAUUAAGAUUAAUGAAGAAAAUUGAAGUUUGAAAAAAUUAAAAAUCAAAAUCUAAUUAAAUUAAUGUGUUUUUCAUUCGACGCAGAUUUGUUUAACUGCAUGUACUAAAAUGCAAAAUUUAAAAUCGGUCUACCUACGGUAAAUAAUUCUUUCUUAAAUCUCAAUUUAUUUUUUUUACCUUUUGUCCGUGCGUUUUUCGUAUGCAUAUUUUCGGGGAGGGGCGUAUUUCCUCAAAUUUACUUUAUAUAAAUUCCGAGCCCUAUUUUUUGUUUCGGAAUUCACGUGUUGCGGCAGUAGCAGUAUAUAAAAUAUUAUCCCGGAUAAAAAAAAAAAUCUUCACUCUAUAUUAUCUACAUCUAUUCGUUCGUAUCAUGUUAAGUGAGCCCGGAUUAAGGAGUGGUCUAUUGGGCGAGAGGCGAGGGAAGGGGGAAGGAAAGGGGAGGAGGGGAAGGUGGUACAAUGGCUUUUAGUUGAACUUUUCGUUUACGACCUUUAGUGGAACUAUCAUUUACUGUUACUUUUAUUUGAUUAAAAUACUGCUUAUUACUAUCGGAUAUAAUGUGGCAACAGUGUUUCGAACGAUUUUCAUUUUUAUUAUUCUUUUUCGGGGCCUCGUCGAGAAGUCUUGUCCCCUUUAAACGUCUUAAUCCGGGCUUUGUAUUUUAUUCGUACGAAUAACGUUUGCGGCCACCCGUUAUAUUGUACUGCAGUGUACAUCGAAACAGAUACUUUCUGUAAUGUACGGCCGUCGAAUUGAUAUUUACUUAAACGGUAUUAAUAACAUUAUCGAACGAACGACAGUCCGACAAUCGAAUACAUAUGGUUUUACGUGAUUUGUAUGGACGUAAAGGCCUGACAAAAAUGCCGGUACUUACGGCGGUUCGAGUUUAAAA